rnacentral:rRNA from 1 species
AGAGUUUGAUCCUGGCUCAGGACGAACGCUGGCGGCGUGCCUAAUACAUGCAAGUCGAACGCACUCUCGUUUAGAUUGAAGGAGCUUGCUCCUGAUUGAUAAACAUUUGAGUGAGUGGCGGACGGGUGAGUAACACGUGGGUAACCUGCCCUAAAGUGGGGGAUAACAUUUGGAAACAGAUGCUAAUACCGCAUAAAACCUAACACCGCAUGGUGUAGGGUUGAAAGAUGGUUUCGGCUAUCACUUUAGGAUGGACCCGCGGUGCAUUAGUUAGUUGGUGAGGUAAAGGCUCACCAAGACCGUGAUGCAUAGCCGACCUGAGAGGGUAAUCGGCCACACUGGGACUGAGACACGGCCCAGACUCCUACGGGAGGCAGCAGUAGGGAAUCUUCCACAAUGGACGAAAGUCUGAUGGAGCAACGCCGCGUGAGUGAAGAAGGUUUUCGGAUCGUAAAACUCUGUUGUUGGAGAAGAAUGUAUCUGAUAGUAACUGAUCAGGUAGCGACGGUAUCCAACCAGAAAGCCACGGCUAACUACGUGCCAGCAGCCGCGGUAAUACGUAGGUGGCAAGCGUUGUCCGGAUUUAUUGGGCGUAAAGCGAGCGCAGGCGGUUUCUUAAGUCUGAUGUGAAAGCCUUCGGCUCAACCGAAGAAGUGCAUCGGAAACUGGGAAACUUGAGUGCAGAAGAGGACAGUGAAACUCCAUGUGUAGCGGUGAAAUGCGUAGAUAUAUGGAAGAACACCAGCGGCGAAGGCGGCUGUCUGGUCUGUAACUGACGCUGAGGCUCGAAAGCAUGGGUAGCAAACAGGAUUAGAUACCCUGGUAGUCCACGCCGUAAACGA